rnacentral:rRNA from 1 species
GACGAACGCUGGCGGCGUGCUUAACACAUGCCAGUCGAACGAAGAGCGAUGGAAGCUUGCUUCUAUCAAUCUUAGUGGCGAACGGGUGAGUAACGCGUAAUCAACCUGCCCUUCAGAGGGGGACAACAGUUGGAAACGACUGCUAAUACCGCAUACGAUCUAAUCUCGGCAUCGAGGAUAGAUGAAAGGUGGCCUCUACAUGUAAGCUAUCACUGAAGGAGGGGAUUGCGUCUGAUUAGCUAGUUGGAGGGGUAACGGCCCACCAAGGCGAUGAUCAGUAGCCGGUCUGAGAGGAUGAACGGCCACAUUGGGACUGAGACACGGCCCAGACUCCUACGGGAGGCAGCAGUGGGGAAUCUUCCGCAAUGGACGAAAGUCUGACGGAGCAACGCCGCGUGAGUGAUGACGGCCUUCGGGUUGUAAAGCUCUGUUAAUCGGGACGAGAGGCCUUCUUGCGAAUAGUGAGAAGGAUUGACGGUACCGGAAUAGAAAGCCACGGCUAACUACGUG